rnacentral:rRNA from 1 species
GAUCAUGGCUCAGGACGAACGCUGGCGGCGCGCCUAACACAUGCAAGUCGAACGAUAGAGAGGAAGCUUGCUUCCUCAAUCGAGUGGCGAACGGGUGAGUAACGCGUGAGGAACCUGCCUCAAAGAGGGGGACAACAGUUGGAAACGACUGCUAAUACCGCAUAAGCCCACGGCUCGGCAUCGAGCAGAGGGAAAAGGAGUAAUCCGCUUUGAGAUGGCCUCGCGUCCGAUUAG